rnacentral:rRNA from 1 species
GGUGAAAAGCACCCCGGAAGGGGAGUGAAAUAGAACCUGAAACCGUGUGCUUACAAGUAGUCAGAGCCCGUUAAUGGGUGAUGGCGUGCCUUUUGUAGAAUGAACCGGCGAGUUACGAUUUGAUGCAAGGUUAAGCAGUAAAUGUGGAGCCGUAGCGAAAGCGAGUCUGAAUAGGGCGUUUAGUAUUUGGUCGUAGACCCGAAACCAGGUGAUCUACCCUUGGUCAGGUUGAAGUUCAGGUAACACUGAAUGGAGGACCGAACCGACUUACGUUGAAAAGUGAGCGGAUGAACUGAGGGUAGCGGAGAAAUUCCAAUCGAACCUGGAGAUAGCUGGUUCUCUCCGAAAUAGCUUUAGGGCUAGCCUCAAGUGAUGAUUAUUGGAGGUAGAGCACUGUUUGGACGAGGGGCCCCUCUCGGGUUACCGAAUUCAGACAAACUCCGAAUGCCAAUUAAUUUAACUUGGGAGUCAGAACAUGGGUGAUAAGGUCCGUGUUCGAAAGGGAAACAGCCCAGACCACCAGCUAAGGUCCCAAAAUAUAUGUUAAGUGGAAAAGGAUGUGGCGUUGCCCAGACAACUAGGAUGUUGGCUUAGAAGCAGCCAUCAUUUAAAGAGUGCGUAAUAGCUCACUAGUCGAGUGACACUGCGCCGAAAAUGUACCGGGGCUAAACAUAUUACCGAAGCUGUGGAUUGUCCUUUGGACAAUGGUAGGAGAGCGUUCUAAGGGCGUUGAAGCAUGAUCGUAAGGACAUGUGGAGCGCUUAGAAGUGAGAAUGCCGGUGUGAGUAGCGAAAGACGGGUGAGAAUCCCGUCCACCGAUUGACUAAGGUUUCCAGAGGAAGGCUCGUCCGCUCUGGGUUAGUCGGGUCCUAAGCUGAGGCCGACAGGCGUAGGCGAUGGAUAACAGGUUGAUAUUCCUGUACCACCUAUAAUCGUUUUAAUCGAUGGGGGGACGCAGUAGGAUAGGCGAAGCGUGCGAUUGGAUUGCACGUCUAAGCAGUAAGGCUGAGUAUUAGGCAAAUCCGGUACUCAUUAAGGCUGAGCUGUGAUGGGGAGAAGACAUUGUGUCUUCGAGUCGUUGAUUUCACACUGCCGAGAAAAGCCUCUAGAUAGAAAAUAGGUGCCCGUACCGCAAACCGACACAGGUAGUCAAGAUGAGAAUUCUAAGGUGAGCGAGCGAACUCUCGUUAAGGAACUCGGCAAAAUGACCCCGUAACUUCGGGAGAAGGGGUGCUCUUUAGGGUUAACGCCCAGAAGAGCCGCAGUGAAUAGGCCCAAGCGACUGUUUAUCAAAAACACAGGUCUCUGCUAAACCGUAAGGUGAUGUAUAGGGGCUGACGCCUGCCCGGUGCUGGAAGGUUAAGAGGAGUGGUUAGCUUCUGCGAAGCUACGAAUCGAAGCCCCAGUAAACGGCGGCCGUAACUAUAACGGUCCUAAGGUAGCGAAAUUCCUUGUCGGGUAAGUUCCGACCCGCACGAAAGGCGUAACGAUUUGGGCACUGUCUCAACGAGAGACUCGGUGAAAUCAUAGUACCUGUGAAGAUGCAGGUUACCCGCGACAGGACGGAAAGACCCCGUGGAGCUUUACUGUAGCCUGAUAUUGAAAUUCGGCACAGCUUGUACAGGAUAGGUAGGAGCCUUUGAAACGUGAGCGCUAGCUUACGUGGAGGCGCUGGUGGGAUACUACCCUAGCUGUGUUGGCUUUCUAACCCGCACCACUUAUCGUGGUGGGAGACAGUGUCAGGCGGGCAGUUUGACUGGGGCGGUCGCCUCCUAAAAGGUAACGGAGGCGCUCAAAGGUUCCCUCAGAAUGGUUGGAAAUCAUUCAUAGAGUGUAAAGGCAUAAGGGAGCUUGACUGCGAGACCUACAAGUCGAGCAGGGUCGAAAGACGGACUUAGUGAUCCGGUGGUUCCGCAUGGAAGGGCCAUCGCUCAACGGAUAAAAGCUACCCCGGGGAUAACAGGCUUAUCUCCCCCAAGAGUUCACAUCGACGGGGAGGUUUGGCACCUCGAUGUCGGCUCAUCGCAUCCUGGGGCUGUAGUCGGUCCCAAGGGUUGGGCUGUUCGCCCAUUAAAGCGGUACGCGAGCUGGGUUCAGAACGUCGUGAGACAGUUCGGUCCCUAUCCGUCGUGGGCGUAGGAAAUUUGAGAGGAGCUGUCCUUAGUACGAGAGGACCGGGAUGGACAUACCUCUGGUGUACCAGUUGUCGUGCCAACGGCAUAGCUGGGUAGCUAUGUGUGGACGGG